rnacentral:rRNA from 1 species
CCCUUAGAUGUCCUGGGCCGCACGCGCGCUACACUGAGUGUCUGAGAUACGAGUCUGCCUGGUCCGGCAAGGUCUAGGUAAUCGCUAAAAGACACAUCAUGCUUGGGAUAGAUUAUUGCAAAUAUUAAUCUUGAACGAGGAAUUCCUAGUAAGCGCAAGUCAACAGCCUGCGUUGAUUACGUCCCUGCCCUUUGUACACACCGCCCGUCGCUACUACUGAUUGGAUGUUUAAGCGAGGUUCUCGAACUGCUAGCGACUUAGCUUCGGUGAGGUCGCAGUGUGGGAAGUGAACCGAGCUUUGGUGUCUAGAGGAAGUAAAAGUCGUAACA